ACCUUGGCUCUAGACUGCUUACUGUGAAACUGUGCUAUAGGAACAGUAACAGUCUACAGUCAUGGCUAC
rnacentral:pre_miRNA from 2 species